rnacentral:rRNA from 1 species
GACGAACGCUGGCGGCGUGCCUAAUACAUGCAAGUCGAACGCAGUGGGGACGGGUGAGUCACACGUGGGUAACCUCCCAUCACAGGGGAUAACACUUGGAAACAGGUGCUAAACCGAUACUGAUGGAUGGACCCGCGUUGCAUUAGCUAGUUGGUGAGGUAACGGCUCACCAAGGCCACGAUGCAUAGCCGGCCUGAGAGGGUGAGCGGCAACAUUGGGACUGAGACACGGCCCAAACUCCUACGGGAGGCAGCAGGAGGGAAUCUUCCACAAUGGACGAAAGUCUGAGGGAGCAACGCCGCGUGAGUGAAGAAGGUUUUCGGAUCGUAAAGCGCUGUUGUUGGUGAAGCGGUAAUCAACCAGAAAGGCACGGCUAACUACGUGCCAGCAGCCGCGGUAAUUC